rnacentral:rRNA from 1 species
AUUGAACGCUGGCGGCAGGCCUAACACAUGCAAGUCGAACGGUAACAGGAAGACGCUUGCUUCUUUGCUGACGAGUGGCGGACGGGUGAGUAAUGUCUGGGAAACUGCCUGAUGGAGGGGGAUAACUACUGGAAACGGUAGCUAAUACCGCAUAACGUCGCAAGACCAAAGAGGGGGACCUUCGGGCCUCUUGCCCUCGGAUGUGCCCAGAUGGGAUUAGCUAGUAGGUGGGGUAACGGCUCACCUAGGCGACGAUCCCUAGCUGGUCUGAGAGGAUGACCAGCCACACUGGAAAUGAGACACGGUCCAGACUCCUACGGGAGGCAGCAGUGGGGAAUAUUGCACAAUGGGCGCAAGCCUGAUGCAGCCAUGCCGCGUGUAUGAAGAAGGCCUUCGGGUUGUAAAGUACUUUCAGCGGGGAGGAAGGGAGUAAAGUUAAUACCUUUGCUCAUUGACGUUACCCGCAGAAGAAGCACCGGCUAACUCCGUG